rnacentral:sRNA from 13 species
CUUUACUCAUUCAAUAUAGUAUUUAAAGAAUUAUUUGAAUUACCUUUCUUCCUGCAGAAUAAUACUUUUCAACACCAUUAGCUUCAAAUGCAGCUUCUUGUGGCAAUUUUCGGUCUCAACGGCUUUCGCAGUAAUUGUCACCGGACUAUUACCGCCACCCCGGGCCAUCCGAUGGCAUUUCCAACCGGAAGCGCGUCCCAUCGAUUUGUCUCUGUCGCUGUCCUUCACUGGGUCCUGUCCUGUUCCGUUCUGAGCUGGCACAAUUUAGUGUUUAAGUAAUAUUUUGUUACUUCGGCGCGAUGCAGGAGAGAGUUACACUGGCUGGCUGCACAUAACUGGGUAAUUUAUAUUGGCCAUUUCGCUUUGAGUCGCACACACUCACGGUCGCAAAGUGCUUCUGCGACAAAGUAAAUUGUAAAAUGUCACCCAUAAAGCGUAAAUUGUAACAAAAAGCACUCGAGGCCACGCAGUGAUUUAAAUUUUGUCGUCUGUAGGCUCCGGCUGUAAAGUUAUGUGUAUCUGCGGCGUUGUACCCCGAAAAGCACAUCCUCCCUUCCCCAAUUUCCCCUUUCCCCUGCAUCCUUUCGUCCUGCAGCUCCAGGACCCAGCUGGUAAGGCCUUUCGUCCUUUCGGUCGGGACACUGGCACUUGGCAGCACUGGCGACAAGUUUUUUGGCCCGAUGCGAGCACACACAGUGUCCACAAUUUACACAAUUCAUAAUUCAUGCGCAAAUACUGCUCAUACAAUAUAUGGAUCGUCGGGCGAUUUCAGCAUUUCGCAGUCGCAGCUGCAGCUACAAACUUUAAUUAUAUCUGUAUCUAUGCGUGUGCGUUUUAAUUGAGUUUUGGUAUGCAAAACACUGGGCCAAAGUGACAAAUUGAUUAUCAAUUCGCAUGUUUUAUGGACACGGAUAGAGGGCUUUGGGUAUACAAAUAAAUAUAUUGUAAGUAUGAAUGAGUAGGCUGAUGAAUUUAAAGUGCAGAUAAUCGCGACCUUAAAGAUAUAAUUUCUAUAUAGGAUUCCGAAUGCCUGAGCUGGCGAAUUAAAACCGGAAACAAUUCAUUUCACGCACUAUUGAGCCUGGGAACAAACCAUUUUUCUUCGCCGCAAUUUGAGCAAAUAUUAAUUUUUGCCCGCUCUUAUUCAUGAACCUGUCCGCCAAGUCUGGGAAUUUUCUUCUUCUUCGAAACUCCGUCUGUGACUGUGGCGGCAGAGUUUUCCCGCUGGUCCUUGCUCGCUUUUCGUUUGAGAGAAUGGAGGAAUGGCGGGGAAGAACACAAAAAUUCGCACUUUAUUCAUUUCCGUCCGACAUCAAAUGCUUUCCAUCUGCCGAGGCCAACGAUCUCUUUCCACUCUUGAUUCUCUGGACUCAGGACUCUGGAUUCCCGUCUCCGUAUUUCCGCAUUUUGUAUUCAUUAAUCAACUUUCAAAUCUUUCCACAACAAACGAAAGGCUGGCGUUCUGGGCGAAAUCCUCGCCGUAUCCUCGCAACCCGGGUGGCACUUUGCACUAAUUUGCGGCCGCAUCUCCCGACAGUCGCAACAAGCAGCGACAAGCUGUCCACUCGGCAGCAGGCUUUUCACUCCUCGCACCACCCAACCACCAGAUAAGCCACCCAUUGGCCCACCCACCUGCACGGCUUGUUUGUAUCAUUUACGCGCCGUGCAUCGAGUCGCGGCUCACACGGCGUAUGCGUGCUGGCUGGCCCAUCACUCAAUGGCAGCUGCAGAGUUGCAGUUAGUGGGCGUCAGUUUUCAUUUGCGUCAAUUGUUUGCAACUGGUUAAGGAUUCAGGAUGUCAGCUGGUGAGAAAUCGGGAUGCGCGCCGUCUUGCAGAGGGAACAAUAUAUGUUCCGAAGUAUGCAAUGUUCCUUUUGUAAUCCAAUUGUAAACAUUUAAUUUUAUAGAUUUAUUCCCUAUAAAUAGU